rnacentral:rRNA from 1 species
CGUCUAUAUACGUAUAGCAUAUCAAUAAGCGGAGGAAAAGAAACUAACUAGGAUUCCCUCAGUAACGGCGAGUGAAGCGGGAAGAGCUCAAAUUUGAAAUCUUCAAGGUUCUACCUUGACGAAUUGUAGUUUAAAGAAGUGUUUUCUGUUGGAGUUUUGGUAAAAGUUCUUUGGAAUAGGACAUCAUAGAGGGUGAGAAUCCCGUAUUUGACCAUUAUUUCCAGCUUUGUGAUACACUUUCAAAGAGUCGGAUUGUUUGGGAAUGCAGUCCAAAAUGGGUGGUAAAUUUCAUCUAAAGCUAAAUAUUGGCGAGAGACCGAUAGCGAACAAGUACCGUGAGGGAAAGAUGAAAAGAACUUUGAAAAGAGAGUUAAACAGUACGUGAAAUUGUCAAAAGGGAAGCGUUUGACACCAGUGUUGUUUUUCCGAAAAUCAAUUACGAAUGUUUUGUUUUGAGGAGUUAUGACUUCAUCGGCUUGCUCCUUUCUUUACGAAACUUUCUUAAUGCACUUUUCGGUUAACAAGUCAACAUCAAUUUCUUUUGUUGUAAAAGGGUAUGAGGAAGGUGGCUUUCUUUUCGGAGAAAGUGUUUAUAGCCUUGUGCCUCUACAAUCGGAGAGAUUGAGGUCUGCAGCGUAGAUCCUUCGGGGUUAGAUACGUUUGUGCUAAGUUAUAGCUUUUCAUAGACAACUUGUUGACUAUGUUUAGUCUUGUAGCUUACUCGCUGACGCUAUUUUACCUACGCUUAGGAUGUUGACUGAUAUGUAGUCGU